rnacentral:rRNA from 1 species
GACGAGUGGCGAACGGGUGAGUAAUACAUCGGAACGUGCCCAGUCGUGGGGGAUAACUACUCGAAAGAGUAGCUAAUACCGCAUACGAUCUGAGGAUGAAAGCGGGGGACCUUCGGGCCUCGCGCGAUUGGAGCGGCCGAUGGCAGAUUAGGUAGUUGGUGGGAUAAAAGCUUACCAAGCCGACGAUCUGUAGCUGGUCUGAGAGGACGACCAGCCACACUGGGACUGAGACACGGCCCAGACUCC